rnacentral:rRNA from 1 species
GAGAGUUAAACAGUACGUGAAAUUGUUGAAAGGGAAACGAUUGAAGUCAGUCGUGCUGGCGCGAAAUCAGCUCGACCACUCGGGGAUCACGGGCCGUAGCGAGCCUCAAAACCGCUACGACUCGUGAUUUCUUAGUGGCCUGGUGCACUUUCGUGUCGGCUGGUUAACAUCAAUUUCGAUCGUCAUAAAAAGGCUGGAGGGAUGUGGCUCCUUCGGGAGUGUUAUAACCUUUAGCGGAAUGUGGUGGUCGGGAUUGAGGCUUGCAACGAUUACCUUCAGGGCUGUUCCACCUGGCCUCUCAUCGGAAUUCUGGCGGCGACAGCUUGCUGACGUUGUUAGGAUCGGCCUUCGAACAGGCUAGAGUGUGAGCAAAUUCGUUAAGGAUGUUAACGUAAUGGCUUUAAACGA